CAUGAAGUUGGAAUCGCUAGUAAUCGCGGAUCAGCAUGCCGCGGUGAAUACGUUCCCGGGCCUUGUACACACCGCCCGUCACACCAUGAGAGUCGGGAACACCCGAAGUCCGUAGCCUGACCGCGAAGGGGGCGCGGCCGAAGGUGGGUUCGAUAAUUGGGGUGAAGUCGUAACAAGGUACC
rnacentral:rRNA from 1 species